rnacentral:rRNA from 1 species
GGGGAAUAUUGCACAAUGGGAGAAACCCUGAUGCAGCAACGCCGCGUGAAGGAUGAAGGUUUUCGGAUUGUAAACUUCUUUAGUCAGGGACGAAAAAAUGACGGUACCUGAAGAAUAAGCCACGGCUAACUACGUGCCAGCAGCCGCGGUAAUACGUAGGUGGCAAGCGUUGUCCGGAAUUACUGGGUGUAAAGGGCGUGUAGGCGGGAAUGUAAGUCAGAUGUGAAAUCCCAGGGCUUAACCCUGGAGCUGCAUCUGAAACUAUGUUUCUUGAGUGCCGGAGAGGAAAGCGGAAUUCCUAGUGUAGCGGUGAAAUGCGUAGAUAUUAGGAGGAACACCAGUGGCGAAGGCGGCUUUCUGGACGGUAACUGACGCUGAGGCACGAAAGCAUGGGUAGCAAAC